GCAUCUCCAGCAACAUCGGUUUGAGCUAAGUAUUUUCUUCUCAGUUACAUUAUAAGUAAUUUACCCAACAUGUUUAUCACGAUCUCAAUUACAGUUUCUCUUCUGAUAAAUCCCCAUAAAUUCAGUUUCCGCAGCAAAAUUAGCCCUAGAUUUUGGAAAAACAAAUCAAAGAAAUUGGAGAAAUCAACUCCUUUGGGUGAGUGAAUGAUGUUUGAUUCCGAUUUUUAAUUGUUAAGCGGUCUAAAAUUUUCUUUUUCUUGCUUUUGUUUUCGAUGUCUAUUUCUUUCAUGUAUUCAGUUUGACGAUAGCAUCAUUGAAAUUGAACCCUAAAAGGUUUGGGUUUUCUGACUUGUUGCUACUGAUAUAUGUAAUUAAUGGGGUUAAUUUCGUGGUUUGAUUUUAAAGUCACCCAAUUUAUUGUCUAUUACAGAUGAUAUGUUGAUUUGUGAGCUGUUAUGAUAGAUUUAGGGAGAUUGGGUGUUGGUAGAUGCUGGUAUGGGGUUAUCUCAAAUUAUGUGUGUAUCUGAAAGACGUACUAGUUUGUUGGAUUUGUUAUGCUUAAAUUGACUGAUUGUUAUACAAAUGAGAUAGAAUACCUCUUGUUUGAGGAUGGGAACAAGGUUAGAUGUCUUUCUUGUGUGAUUGAUUGAAUUAACAAUGUGAAAUUGCGGUUUUUUAAUUUUUAUUUUAGGGUACCAUGUAUCUGUUAAUUCAUUUGCCAAUUUUGGUUCUUUACUGGCAUAACUUGUAUAAAUUAUUGCUUUUAAUUCAGGUCUCUGAUGAAUUCCGCACAUCAUAAGCAGGCAAACAACAGUAUUACUGCCUAUGUGUCUAUGGUUAAGUACCCUAGAACAGAUAAAAACUAAUAAUGAACAAAUGCUUGCUGAAACAGUUCGCCUCAUAAAGAGAUUAGUCAUAAAGUGAAUAGGAUGCCUUCCACUUCCAGUUUCAGUUGACAUCAUCUUUGAACAAAUUUUAGUUUCAUUUUCACUUUGCGCUGUUUUUAGAUUUCGGAAUGUGUAUCUAUGUAUAGAUUUUGGAAUGUGUAUUUUUGCUGUAUGGUUAUUUAGUGUAUACUUGGUUAAUUACUGUGUAUGAUUCUUGGAUUUGUAUGUUUGGUAUAGGGUUAAUCGACAAAGUAUUAUUAGUAAGGAAUGGGUUUGUCGAAUGUUCAUGAGAUGUUAGUAGAAACCGUAUUUGUUAACUUUUUGUUUGAAGUUUUCUUCGAUCACCUAUCGAACAGAUUAAAGAGUAUGUCGGAUCAGCAACUGCAACAAAAGUGUGUUUCAAAAAUUGUAUCUUCUUGGUGCGGUGACUGAUCAUUUCUUUCAAUUAUAAUUUCUUUUAAUUCGAUUCAUUGCGAGUCAUCAAAGAAAAUUGUGCGUACGACUAUUAGAGGUAAUCUGACAAGAAACUUGGCAUGCAUGGGAUAGUGGUGUUGGGACGUCAAGAUGUGAUAUUUGCGUGCUUAAUUUUUUGCAUUGUUUGUUCAGUGAUAUUUGUUCGUAGAUUUUGUUUACUGGAAUAGUAUUCGUUGAUUUAGUUUCUUAGUCUAUAUUAUAAUUUGAAUUCUAUACACCGCGAUGACUAAUUUUGGGUUUUGAACACUGCACUAAUAAAUGAUUUUUGUUCAUAAUUCGAAAAACUAUUGUGUGUCUCCCGAUUGGAGGUGUUAAUAAUUUUUGUUCAUAAUUCAGAACUUUUGGGAUCAUAAAUGAAAUCCUCUUACGCAGUUUUGCCGAGGAAUUACUGAGAUCGCGCGAUGAUUAGUGUUCAUUAAGGACCGGAACAACAUUUUCUGAGAUACUAAUGAAUUUAAAGUCUUUUUUGUUUUUGAAUUGCAGGAUGUCAUUGUCAAGAGAACAGAUACAGUGUGAAGCUAUACAUUUCUUUAAUUGAUCUGCAAUGAAAACAUCCUAUUUCUGCAUGACUGUCAAUGUGUUCUUUGUUAUAAUUUUAUGUCCUGUAAAAUCUUUCAUAUGCAGGUAGUAUUUUGUUUCAGGAGGAGACUGCUAAAAGGGUAAAUGGAAUGGAUAUCUGCAAAUGGUUAACUUUAUCGUACUAAUUUUGUUGAACACCAAAAAUAUUUUCCUUUCCAAUUUCGUUGUUGUAUGGUCAUGGGUUUUUAUUAUUGGUACAUGUAUUUUAUUGGUGGUGGAGGCGGUUAAAAAUAUCCUACUUAUAAUUUUGCCACUUUUAUCCGGAACAUUUUGGUAUCUAUUGGAAAAUUGCAGCAAAUAAUUAGUGCGUCCAGCAUUUCGGGUCUGGUCUUGGUUGGGUUUUCCUUUCAUCUGUUCAAAGUACACGAGUAGGAAGAACUGUCUGCAGCAACCUAAGGCUAUUGGGGUGUCAAUCUAGUCCAGGUGUAACAAAUGCAUUAGAUCUUUGGUCCUUUGGCUGCUGUCUUUCCAUAAUUCGGGUGGAAGUUCUUGGUUGCCAAGCACAUUAACUAGUGUUCUUUGUCACAGCUACUGUGGCUAUCUAAUGAUGGUGUUCCAGACCUAGGAGGCAUUAAUAAAGAUCAGACAUGCUUUGCUGAUGAAGUAAGCGACAGGAUACCAAAGAAAACUACUAGGGAGCUGUAUUUUUGUCUGUUUCACAUGGAUGUUUUAAUCUUCAUUUAGUUGUAUAUUCUCUACCUGGAGGGGUUUGGUUAUGUUAUACAACUUCUCAUUUCCCGGUGGUUUAUCCCUACAAAUCAGUCAUCUGGUUCUUACUUAUACUGUGGUUCCUCUAUCGAAAAGUCUCCGUGGAGUUAAAGGAGUUAUUUUUAAGAAAGCAAAUGAUGUGUUUCUUUAAGCUUCUGUGAUCCAUAGUAUCUAAUGUCACUACUGUCGUGAUGUAGAUUCAUGAACUGGCUGUAAAUUCUCUUCUCAGGAGCAACCAAAUCAAUGAGAUGGAAGGAGGAGCCUUGUUUAUAUUUGACCUUUAUAUUUUUGAAGCACAGGAAUAAGUUGGCUUCCAUGAGGCUAGUGCAUGUGCAUCUGGGUUUCAUAUGCAGGCUAGUGCAUGUGCAUCUGUGAUCCAUAACACUUAAGUUACUGUAACACAAAGUUUAUAUAAUUAACAAAUCACAAAACUAAAUGCUUAUGAGAGUUCUAUUUUCCUGUCCCUAUCAAUCCAUCAUUGCAAUACUUCACGAGGAAUUAAUUAGACACCUGAAAGCAAAGGUUUCUUGGAGAGCUUCCCAGAAGAUCCUGCUCUGGUUCAGUUACAUUUGCCAACAAAAGGCCCACAAAGAUUGAUUUAGGUAGUCCUGAAUAAUACUACUGUUGAGACGGACAAUCCAAUUCUGCGUGAUCGGGACUAUAAUUAUUUGCAAGUCCAACACGGUAUUGCCAGGCUAAGUCCACAGAAGUAAUCGUCUUCAGACAAUAAAUAUGGUGGAGAUGUCUUCAAGUCCGACACGGUAUUUUCCAGGCUUUGCAUGUUAGGGAGGACGUACAAGUUUAAGCUUCUCGCAAAGACCAUCAAAAAGGAUGGGCGACUAGAGGUUACAUUGACACUACUAACAAAUUUAGUUUCGUCUUCUUGUAUUUGUAAAGAAAGAAUGAUCCAAUCUUUAUCUGUUCGACUCUUUGCUUGUUUCAAAAGCAUAUUAGUAAUGAUAUUACGAGAAAUAUAGUGCUCUUUAUCUUUUAAUUUGAUGUGGCGAACAUCAGAAAUACAGAUACAUACCUUGAGCGUGAUGUUUGAGAACUGUAUCAGCUGCAGAUGGUGAUUUCAGUAACAUCCCUAAUUUUGGAACAGUGCUCCUGUGUUAUAAGAGAAUAAUGUAGUAACAGUAUCCAUGUGUGACAGAUUGUGGAGACGUGUUACUACCCGCACGAAAUAGAACAGUUGUGAAAACUGUUACUGUCUAAAUCCGUAACACUCGAAAACUGUGACAGAAAAUCUGCCACACCCUCAACAGUAACGUUUAUUCAGUGUUACUGAAGGUCUUUGUAACAACUAUAAAACGUUACAAUUAGGCACAUUUGGUGUUGUGACAAGUAAAUCAAACAAUGAAAUUAUAAUUAUUUAGGGAUUUCAUCUCAACCCUAACAGAGAUUUUUAGAACUUAACAAACAUUGAAAUAAACUAAUACUACAGCUUGCACCGGCUAUUCUGGGCUUGCCUUUUACAUCACAAUCUCCUCCCUAUUUAUACACCAAAAUCCCAAUUGAGUUUCAAUACAACAAUAAAUCUCCACCCACUCACCAUAAUUGUUUUCUGAUAAUCUUAUCUUCUUUCCUGUCCCCUCUUCUGCGACAAUUGAUUGACUUGUCUUUUUGAUUGGUACAAUUUUACUCAACUUAUGAAUUCCUCUAGCUAGGGUUACUGUUUAUGAUAAAAUAGGAUGAGGGAGAGAUACAAUUGAUAUUUAAAUUGGUAUUGUUGGUGAAGAGGGUCGUGUACGGAUGGGAGAUGGAGUAAAUAGAGAGGGUGAAAUUGGUAGUGGUUGAG